GACGAACGCUGGCGGCGUGCCUAAUACAUGCAAGUCGAACGAGAGCAACCGGUGCUUGCCCUGGUCAAUCUAGUGGCGAACGGGUGGGUAACACGUGGGUAACCUGCCCAUCAGAGGGGGAUAACAUCCGGAAACGGAUGCUAAAACCGCAUAGGUCUUCGAACCGCAUGGUUUGAAGAGGAAAAGAGGCGCAAGCUUCUGCUGAUGGAUGGACCCGCGGUGCAUUAGCUAGUUGGUGAGGUAACGGCUCACCAAGGCCGUGAUGCAUAGCCGACCUGAGAGGGUGAUCGGCCACAUUGGGACUGAGACACGGCCCAAACUCCUACGGGAGGCAGCAGUAGGGAAUCUUCCGCAAUGGACGCAAGUCUGACGGAGCAACGCCGCGUGAGUGAAGAAGGUUUUCGGAUCGUAAAACUCUGUUGUUAGAGAAGAACAAGUGCUAGAGUAACUGUUAGCGCCUUGACGGUAUCUAACCAGAAAGCCACGGCUAACUACGUG
rnacentral:rRNA from 1 species